rnacentral:rRNA from 1 species
CUUUACACAUGCAAGUCGAACGGUAACAGGGUGCUUGCACCGCUGACGAGUGGCGAACGGGUGAGUAAUGCGUCGGAACGUGCCGAGUAGUGGGGGAUAACGCAGCGAAAGUUGUGCUAAUACCGCAUACGUACUGAGGUAGAAAGUGGGGGACCUUCGGGCCUCACGCUAUUCGAGCGGCCGACGUCUGAUUAGCUAGUAGGUGAGGUAAAGGCUCACCUAGGCGACGAUCAGUAGCGGGUCUGAGAGGAUGAUCCGCCACACUGGGACUGAGACACGGCCCAGACUCCUACGGGAGGCAGCAGUGGGGAAUUUUGGACAAUGGGCGAAAGCCUGAUCCAGCCAUGCCGCGUGUCUGAAGAAGGCCUUCGGGUUGUAAAGGACUUUUGUCAGGGAGGAAAUCCCUAGNGNUAAUACCNCUGGGGGAUGACAGUACCUGAAGAAUAAGCACCGGCUAACUACGUGCCAGCAGCCNNCGGUAAUA